rnacentral:rRNA from 1 species
AUGCACUGGAGUUUCUGGAGGCCUGCUUUGUAUAUGACUAAACCAUCUCAGACGAUAUUGGACAAGCUUCUCUUCAGUUGGUCCUACCCCAACUCUAUCCUGACUGUAUAUCAUCAUUACUGGCUCGAUCCUUCCUUGUAUGGCCACACAUCCAUCUCAACAGCCAACACUCGGUGCCAUAGAACAUUACAAGUCGAAUCACCGUCCUAUAAAACCCGCCUUUUAGUUUUUUGGCACUCUCUUGCAAGUCGAAUUGUAUGCAUACAUAAUGGAAUUGAAACAACUCAAAUGAAAAUAAGUUUGCUGUGGUAA